rnacentral:rRNA from 1 species
UCCUACGGGGGGCAGCAGUAGGGAAUCUUCCACAAUGGGCGAAAGCCUGAUGGAGCAACGCCGCGUGGGUGAAGAAGGUCUUCGGAUCGUAAAACCCUGUUGUUAGAGAAGAAAGUGCGUGAGAGUAACUGUUCACAUUUCGACGGUAUCUAACCAGAAAGCCACGGCUAACUACGUGCCAGCAGCCGCGGUAAUACGUAGGUGGCAAGCGUUAUCCGGAUUUAUUGGGCGUAAAGGGAACGCAGGCGGUCUGUUAAGUCUGAUGGGAAAGCCUUCGGCUUAACCGGAGUAGUGCAUUGGAAACG